rnacentral:rRNA from 1 species
AUUGAACGCUGGCGGAAUGCUUUACACAUGCAAGUCGAACGGCAGCACGGGGGCAACCCUGGUGGCGAGUGGCGAACGGGUGAGUAAUACAUCGGAACGUGCCCAGUCGUGGGGGAUAACGUAGCGAAAGUUACGCUAAUACCGCAUACGAUCUACGGAUGAAAACGGGGGAUCGCAAGACCUUGCGCGAUUGGAGCGGCCGAUAUCAGAUUAGGUAGUUGGUGGGGUAAAGGCCCACCAAGCCAACGAUCUGUAGCUGGUCUGAGAGGACGACCAGCCACACUGGAACUGAGACACGGUCCAGACUCCUACGGGAGGCAGCAGUGGGGAAUUUUGGACAAUGGGCGAAAGCCUGAUCCAGCCAUUCCGCGUGCAGGAUGAAGGCCCUCGGGUUGUAAACUGCUUUUGUACAGAACGAAAAGGUUUCUACUAAUACUAGGAGCUCAUGACGGUACUGUAAGAAUAAGCACCGGCUAACUACGUGCCAGCAGCCGCGGUAA